ensembl:lncRNA novel transcript
GGAAGAAAGGAAGUGAAGGAGAGAGGGAGGGAGGAAAAAAGGAAGGGAAGAAGGAAUCCUUAUUUGACCUGUACUCCUUUAGAACCCAAAGUUAGUUCUAGUCCUCUCCGUUUCUUUGGAUACUCAUUUUCCUACACUGGGAUUUCUACCUUCCUUCUUUCCCAAACUCAAAAACACAGUAAUGAUCUUGCUUUUAAGACAUAUCAUAUCAUGUUUUUCAGUUUUGGAUGUUGCUGCCAAGGGCAGUCAGCUCAUUUGACUCUAUCUACUAUGCUGCAUUUGAGAUUUUGUCAAUGCCAUUGAAUACAAAGGUGAAAGCAAGAGCCCAUAAAUAUGGCUGCAUCAAAAAGACAUGCAUAGAAUGGUGAAAAAUUUGAGUUGCUUGAUGUUCACAUUUCUCGGCUGAGGUUGAAUGAGGCUCCAGAAACUGACCAGCAAGCCUGCAGACCAGCAGAUGGAUGGAGGAAUGACGGGGCAGAGAAAGGGAGAAGAGGAGGAACAUCUGAACGCCAAGAGGAAUAAGGCUGGGGGCAGUCCGAAAGGAUUCUGUUUGCUGGGCGGCCCGACCCCAGGGGAGGAUCAUUUUCCCACUCCAUCCCCUGCUUCUGACUCCCCAUUUAUCCUGCUGAAAGUCACCUCCACCUCCACCUCCACCACUCAAUAAAACUUCGCAUUCAUCCUUCGAGUUCGUGCGUGACCCGAUUUUUCCGGGAGGCUGGACAAAAGCCCGGGAUACGGAAAGCUGUCACGCUGGCCCUCUGCCCUUGCAAAAAGGCAGAGGGUCCAUUGAGCUGAUUAACACUAAAGCCAUCUGUGGAGAGCAAAGCUGAAAGAGCUCUGUAACACUGGGGUUGCAGGAAACCACCUCUAGACUGUACCGCCGGGCUGGAGCCCAAAGCGCUCUUCCGGCCUGUAUACCUGCUAAUCUGCACGCUCCCCGUCUUUCAAGAGGUUUGAGCAGCAGGGCUACUGAACAGGCAAGCCACACUUCUGUUGCACAUCCUGUGAGGGGAAUCAGGGACCUGUCUGGUUGCAAAGGAAUUACAGACAUGAGCCACUGUGUCUGACCCAUUUAUCUUAAAUUUAAGGGGAUAACAAUGCGGGAAGCUGGAAUCUAGAGGAACCACAGUAACUUUGAUCUCUAGCUGUGAGGAAGAACAUGCCUGCUUCCCAAGUGACCAUCCUCCCAGCACCAUGAUAUCUAUGAGAUCAAGGGCUCCAGAGAUUACAGAGACAGCUUUUGGCGAGUGUCAGUGUCCAGGUUGACUGCUGGACAUUUCCUGCCAAUGUGUUCUAGGGAGAACUAGCCUCUGCCAUCCCCUGCAUGGCCAACAUAAAUGAAUAGGGUCUGCUCCAGUGAUCAAUUACUUUUCAAUUUAGCAAGGGGAGGCAGGCAGGUUUACUGGUAAGUGAAUGUGGGAGUUUUAGAUAGUAAAAUAUCAUAAAUAAAGGCAGCAGAGAGGAGUAGAAAGGGCAUGGAUGGGCUUUGGAAUUAGAUAGCCCUGAGCUUAAAUCUUGCCUUCACCAAUUACUAGCAGAGUUAUAUAUAAUUUGAUAAAAGGAGACACAAAAUUCUCAGAAUAAAAGUCCUAAAAAUUCAUUCUUCUGUUAAUUUUUAGAAUCUUGCAGCUCUUCCCCUGAAGCCCUAUUCACUGCAAUCAUUUCACUCUGUGAAGCAUUUUUGCAUUUACUGUCUACACAAACCAUUUGGCUAUCAGUAGAUGCUGUUACAUGAGCUUGAUAUAUUUAUCAUAUUUAGUAUUUUUUUCUUUUCCCAUGAUUAGAAAAUAAGCUAAGAGCAGAAAGAGGAGACUAUGUCUUACACCUCUUUGUAUCCUCUUCAGUGAAGAAACGUCCUUCACUGUUGGGACUCUAUUGGCCAUUCCUGGAUAUUUAGCAUCUCUGGACCACAACACUAAACACCAGUAAUACCUGCCAGUCAUGGUGACCAGUUCCCACCCCUCAAAUACCCUUACAAAUUUCCAAAGGUCUUCAUCAGGGUGGUACAACCUUUGGUUGAAAACCACUACAGUGUCCAAUAUAUAGUAAGUAUAUAUUUGUUCAGCACACAUGGUUGUUUUGUUAGUUGCAGUAGGAAAAUUUCUGCCUGAAAUUUAUUACUUUUUUUAAACAAAAAUGCUUAAGAAAUUGGUUCAUUUGACAUCCUUUCAAUCCUAGUUCCACCUAUUAAUUUUUGUGGGUGAAAAGGUCUUUUUGUCUAUGUUACAGGUUGCUUUCCCUGAGAUCUGAGGAGGAUAUUAGUGUGCAGGAAGUUUAUUAUGGAGUGCUUUUGGGGAUCAACACUAGUGGAAGGAAAAAAAAAGGAAGUAAGAUUAAGCGGAAGAAGUUGGACUAUAAUGCAGUUUCAACAAAAGCCUGAACUAAGCCCAAAAAUAGCUCUGAAAUGGAGGUGGCCCUUCAGAGUUGUACCAAGCUGGAACAAGGGGACCAGAUGUUACUGUUCCCUGUCAAUCAGUGAUUGGGUGUAGACUAUCUUAGAAAUAGGGCAUGAGCUGGCAUGAGGCAACUCUGUUCAGCAGAAGGCAGGUAUGUAAGAGAGCUGCAAGCUGAGGGCUCUCUGUGGGCCAUGCUCUCAGCAGCUGGUGGAGUAAGUAAGUUCAUCAGUCCUAAAGGGGUAUGUUGGAGUGUGCAUCAUCACAGCAUGCACUGCAGUAUGUAUCAGUUUAUCUGUACACAAAUGAGACCUCAAAUAGCUGUAAUUUUAAAAAGUUAAAAACUAGUUACUCUUCUACAUAAGUCAAAAGAGAGUUAGCUCCAAAUAAUAUGAGCGUUCUGUUACUAAAAAACAAACAAACAAACAAAAAUGCCAGGGGAACAGAUGUUAUGGUCUGAAUGUUUGUUCCCGUCUAUAUUCAUGUGUUGGAAUUCUAACCCCCAAGUGGUUGUAUAGGAGGUGGGGCAUUUGGAAGGUGGUUAGGUUAUAAGGAUGGAGCACUCAUGGAUGGGAUUAGUGCUCUUAUAAAAGAGACCCUGGAGAGCUAGCUAUGUAAUAGUUCCUUCUGCAGUGUGAGGUUUCAGUGAAACAUUUCUGUCUAUGAAGGAAGCAGGCCCUCACCAGAACCCACCUGUGCUGGCAAACUGAUCUUGGACAUUCUGGCCUGUUAUAAAAAUAGAGAGUAGAAUGGUAUUGUAAGAAAUAAACUUCUGUCCGGGCACGGUGGCUCACGCCUGUAAUCUCAGCACUUUGGGAGGCUGAGACGGGUGGAUCACGAGGUCAGGAGGUCAAGACCAUCCUGGCUAACACGGUGAAACCCCGUCUCUACUAAAAAUAUAAAAAAUUAGCCGGGCGUGGUGGCAGGCACCCGUGAUCCCAGCUACUCGGGAGGCUGAGGCAGGAGAAUGGUGUGAACCUGGGAGGCGGAGCUUGCAGCGAGCCGAGAUCCCAAUACUGCACUCCAGCGUGGGCGACAGCGA